rnacentral:rRNA from 1 species
AACGAACGCUGGCGGCAGGCCUAACACAUGCAAGUCGAGCGCGCCUUCGGGUGAGCGGCGGACGGGUGAGUAACGCGUGGGAAUAUGCCCUUCUCUACGGAAUAGUCCUGGGAAACUGGGGGUAAUACCGUAUACGCCCUUUGGGGGAAAGAUUUAUCGGGGAAGGAUUAGCCCGCGUUGGAUUAGGUAGUUGGUGGGGUAAUGGCCUACCAAGCCGACGAUCCAUAGCUGGUUUGAGAGGAUGAUCAGCCACACUGGGACUGAGACACGGCCCAGACUCCUACGGGAGGCAGCAGUGGGGAAUCUUAGACAAUGGGGGCAACCCUGAUCUAGCCAUGCCGCGUGAGUGAUGAAGGCCUUAGGGUUGUAAAGUUCUUUCAGCUGGGAAGAUAAUGACGGUACCAGCAGAAGAAGCCCCGGCUAACUCCGUG